UACGAAGGGGGCUAGCGUUGCUCGGAAUCACUGGGCGUAAAGGGUGCGUAGGCGGGUCUUUAAGUCAGGGGUGAAAUCCUGGAGCUCAACUCCAGAACUGCCUUUGAUACUGGAGAGCUUGAGUCCGGAAGAGGUGAGUGGAACUCCGAGUGUAGAGGUGAAAUUCGUAGAUAUUCGCAAGAACACCAGUGGCGAAGGCGGCUCACUGGCCCGGUACUGACGCUGAGGUGCGAAAGCGUGGGGAGCAAACAGG
rnacentral:rRNA from 1 species